rnacentral:rRNA from 1 species
UACGUAGGUGGCAAGCGUUGUCCGGAUUUACUGGGCGUAAAGGGAGCGUAGGUGGAUAUUUAAGUGGGAUGUGAAAUACUCGGGCUUAACCUGAGUGCUGCAUUCCAAACUGAAUAUCUAGAGUGCAGGAGAGGAAAGUAGAAUUCCUAGUGUAGCGGUGAAAUGCGUAGAGAUUAGGAAGAAUACCAGUGGCGAAGGCGACUUUCUGGACUGUAACUGACACUGAGGCUCGAAAGCGUGGGGAGCAAACAGG